rfam:Cariama cristata contig112440, whole genome shotgun sequence.
AACCAAAGCGUUGAGUUCAGUUCAGGGUGUUGCCUCUGUUCUGGUAAUUAAGCUUUGGGACAGUGAGUGACUGCGAAGUGCACCAUGGUGACUGAAAGCUUGUUUUAUGCCACCUGUGUUUCUCAGCCCACAAAC